CGUUGAAACACCAGUUCUCGUGUGAUCAGCGAAGUUAAGCAACGUCGAGACGGGACAGUACCUAGAUGGGUGGCCGCUUUGGAAUGCCA